UACGUAGGGUGCAAGCGUUAAUCGGAAUUACUGGGCGUAAAGCGUGCGCAGGCGGUUUUGUAAGUCUGUCGUGAAAUCCCCGGGCUCAACCUGGGAAUGGCGAUGGAGACUGCAAGGCUAGAGUUUGGCAGAGGGGGGGUAGAAUUCCACGUGUAGCAGUGAAAUGCGUAGAUAUGUGGAGGAACACCGAUGGCGAAGGCAGCCCCCCUGGGUCAAGAUUGACGCUCAUGCACGAAAGCGUGGGGGAGCAAACAGG
rnacentral:rRNA from 1 species